rnacentral:lncRNA from 1 species
UAGGGUGAACGUGGCAGUUCUGGAAUCUCUGGAGAAAAAGGAAAUACUGGAAAACAGGGCUUGACGGGCCCCCCAGGAGAAUCUGGUGAGCCAGGAGGUCCUGGUCUGAGAGGAGAUCCUGGAGAACCUGGAACUGAUAGUGAUAUUCGUGGUCCUCCGGGAGACAAAGGAAAGCAAGGUCGCCAGGGAAAGCCUGCAGUCUAUGCUGAGGGAGGCAUGGCUGGAGAGCGAGGCGCGCAUGUAGGUAUAAGCUGUGUUUGACACUGCUUCCUGUGGGACGCAGAUGUUUUCUGGAUUUUCU